UACCUGAAAUCUUUCCGAAUUCAAGCGUA
rnacentral:rRNA from 1 species